UGAUUCGGUGACGGUUCAGGGAACCAUUACAUGAGUACCUUAUCAAGUGGAAGGGGCUACCGGAAAGCGAGGCAAGCUGGGAGCCAAAGGAGGCGCUUUGGCAAUUUGAAGAUCAGAUCCGGGCCUUCCACGAAGAGUCGACGAGGGCGUCGACGCAAUAGGUGGGGGAGGUUGUCACGCCCCUCCAUUUUCUAAGAGGUUAUGCCAUGCGGGCGNNNN
rnacentral:lncRNA from 1 species